AGGAGCGCAAGUCAAGAAGGAUUUCAGGGGUAUUGUUCCAUUUCAAUUUACCAGGUUUUUCCUCAUUCAUGAGAUGUGAGCCUCAACUGAUUUGUAACCGGUUGUGAAACAGUAAUCACUUGUAUUGCUGCCAGAAAGUUCUCUGCAGGAUAAAAGAAUUCUUUGGACUCCUCGAAGAAUAACUUCCAGCGAGCCCAAGCAGACACUCGUUUGGACGCAGUGAAGAAGGGCGUUGAG